rnacentral:rRNA from 1 species
UACAGAGGGGGCAAGCGUUGUUCGGAAUUACUGGGCGUAAAGGGCGCGUAGGCGGCCAACUCAGUCGGACGUGAAAUCCCCUGGCUCAACCAGGGAACUGCGUCCGAUACUGGCUGGCUUGAAUCCGGGAGAGGGAUGUGGAAUUCCAGGUGUAGCGGUGAAAUGCGUAGAUAUCUGGAGGAACACCGGUGGCGAAGGCGGCAUCCUGGACCGGUAUUGACGCUGAGGCGCGAAAGCCAGGGGAGCAAACGGG